rnacentral:rRNA from 1 species
CUGAUAUAAAUUAAAGGGCCGCGGUAUUCCUGACCGUGCAAAGGUAGCAUAAUCAUUAGUCUUUUAAUUGGAGGCUCGUAUGAAUGAUUGGACGAAAAAUAAUCUGCAUCUUAGUUGAAAUCUGAAUUCAACAUUUAAGUGAAAAGUCUUAAAUUUGGUAAAAAGAGGAUAAGACCCUAUAAAUCUUUACACUACUUAAAAUUUGAAGCCAAUUGUAAGUAAAAUGUUAUUARAUUUGUUUAUAGUGCUUAKUUGGGGCAACAUGGAUAGCAAAAUUUGUCUGUCUAUAAAAAUUACUAAAAAUCUUUGAGUACAAGUACAAGAUCCUUUUUAGAAAUUACAAGAUCAAGUUACUUUAGGGAUAACAGCAUUAUUUUACUUGAGAGUUCAUAUCGAACGUAAAGUUUGUGACCGCAAUGUCCAAUAAAAAUGUCUUUAUGGUGCAGCAGCUAUAAAAGAGAGUUU